rnacentral:lncRNA from 1 species
GUAAACAGAGUCCCUCUUACUGGCUGAAGUGAAGAGUCAUUCUGAGAAAAAAAUAGAUCUGGCCAUUUGAAAGAUCUCAGCUGUGCUAGCACAUCUUUGAGCCAGAAGCCCGAGAGUCACGUUUGAUUCCUUCUCUUUCUAACUAGCAAGUCCUGCCUAUGCCACCUCUAAGAGGCAUCUUACACCCAUCUGCAUUUCACUUUACCUUCCAGAAGCAUCUCAAGAUGAAGGUUUCCUAUUUGUGAUUAUGAAAAAAAUGUCAAGAACAAGUCCGUUGGUGUUCUUAGACCGAAGUCAGAACAACAGACCUAUAUGUUACACAUGCACCUAUCAGUACCAUAAUUAGCACUGUGGGAGAUUCUGAGGGUACAGAGGAGAACUGAAGAGACUUGGUAUUCACUAAGGGAAGAGCCAAACUUCAAGGCGACUUAAACCUUUAUUUGGGGGGUCCUCUUUAGGAAAAGAACAUUAAAUUACAUACACACAGUUAGAUUCAGGGCCAGGGAGGAGGUCUUGCAAGUGAGGGGUUCUGAAACCUAAGCUUCAUUAGCUUCGUGGUAAAUCCACUACAGGUUUCUACUGUUACGGAUCUUAGAAUUCUAGAUUCUGCUGUAACCCUGAUAUAACAGGGAGGCCCUGCAGCCCUGAUCACUAUCCACAGAUCAACUCAAAACAAAACAGAGCAUAAAUGUGACUACAAACCAUGAGGGAUUAUGAAAAUCCUUACUGCAGAUUUCCCUGAGGGAGCUAAUCUAGCAGCCAAAAUGACACGGUGUGCCAUACCCAAAGAUUCCUAAAAGUCAUUUUCCCUAAAAUGUUGCUGUCUCUCACCCUGAACCUCCCAUUACCCUCACCGUCCUGCUGCUCUGUUUUUCACUCUGUCCCCGGCCUAACACUCUUUAAACCCUGGAAACCCUACCCCUGACUACGUGCGCACCCUAAACUGGUGUGGGCUAGUUUCUACUAUGAAUGUUUUUGUAGAC